UACGAAGGGGGCUAGCGUUGCUCGGAAUUACUGGGCGUAAAGGGCGCGUAGGCGGGUCGUUUAGUUAGAGGUGAAAGCCCAGGGCUCAACCCUGGAAUAGCCUUCGAUACUGGAUAUCUUGAGUUCGGGAGAGGUGAGUGGAACUCCGAGUGUAGAGGUGAAAUUCGUAGAUAUUCGGAAGAACACCAGUGGCGAAGGCGACUCACUGGCCCGAUACUGACGCUGAAGCGCGAAAGCGUGGGGAGCAAACAGG
rnacentral:rRNA from 1 species